AUAAGUCAUUCCCCCCCCCCCCCCCUAAUUUAUAUCGUUUAACUUGUGUGCCUGCAAACAAUUGUGAAUUUUCCUCCUUUAUAGAGAAUUAUAUAUCUGCUUGCAGGAAAAGAACGAUGUUAAGCUUGAGAAAGUUCUAAAGGAAGCAGCUAUGGAAAACAAAACAGUAAUAUUAACAACUUUGAAUGCUGCCUGGGCUUCUCCUGGUUCUAUUAUAGAUUUGUUUUUUCAAAGUUUUCGGACAGGAGAUGGAACACGCAGACUCCUGGACCAUUUGGUAAUCAUUGCCUUGGACAAGAAAGCGUACAUAAGAUGAGAAGAUUUACAUGACUGCUGGAUAUUUGUCAAUGAUGUGGAGAAGGAUAGAAUUUCUGCGUGUUAUUCUCGAAAUGGGAUACAACUUUAUUUUCUCGUUUACAAAUCUCAAGUACUCCAGAGUUGAAAUUGAUGAA